rnacentral:rRNA from 1 species
AUGAAGCAACAGGGGAACCGGCUGCAAGCAUCGGCUUCCCCGCCGCUGCCCUCGGACCACUCGCGGCCGACGCUGCCGCCGCCCACCGCCACCCCGGGAGAAGAGCACCCGCCGCCGGCGCUGCCCACCGCGGAGGCGGCUCAAGCAACGGCCAGCGCGAUGGUGGGGAAGGGCAACCGGCCGACGCGCUUCUCCGGCGCCGCGGCAUCCUCGUCUUCGCAGGGUGUGGGCAGGGCAGUGCAACCUUUCAGCAGCGACCAUGUGGAUUAUCUGGUUGAAAGAAAGAAGUGGGAUGAUCUUGAGACCUAUCUGAUGCAGUAUAUGGCUACCUUACAGCCAUUGCAAUCUCAUCCGAUGGUUUUCUUGCGAAUCCGGAUGUGUCGUGUGAUCGAUAUGAUUGACCAAAACAAGUUCGCUGAUGCUGAAGUGUAUUUCCGAGAUCAAAUGGUGAGCCUCUUCAAGAAAAUGAUUGAGCAAGGACCAGGUACUCUCAGGAAUGCUAGCAUUUCUAGCUUAUCUGAUGGCCUGAAGUACAUCAAUGACUGUCUCACCUCAAAGCAAAGAUCACAUCACCCAUACACCAGUUUACUUAUGACAAAGCUUGUGGUAAAUGAUUAUAUGAGACUGUACUUGCCCAAGGAGAUUGAGUACAAGAAUCCUCGUAAGAGGGAUGGCUUGUGGGCCUUUGCUUUUUCUCUGGAAUCGAAGUCUGCGACUAAACCCACAUUCAGGUGUCUAGCUUGCAGCUUGAAGGUCUUCAGUUCAGCAACUAUCCAAGACAUUCAGUUGCACCUAGAACAGUGCCCUGGAAUGAGUUCCCCAUAUGUUACAGAAUUGUUUGAAUACUUCAAAACCAUAAAGCAUUUGAGUGCUGGGAAGCAACCUGCACAAGUAGCAAAGGCUGGUGGGAAGAGGCAACGGGUUGAUUCCACCGCAGCAGCUGGUAACUCCUUCAAUGCUGAUACGCAGUAUUCCUUUCCAGAUCUACAAAGAGAGGUGCAAGGUGCCGAAGAACUAUUCACAGAGAUUGAUAAUGAAGUGCAUGAAGUAGUUGACAUGUACAAUGACAUGGGAACAAAGGUGGGAACAAUUCUUGGGUUGUUCGAUAGGUUGAGACCCAAAUUCAAGAAGAUGAAAGGUCUGGCAUGUGUUGGUCAUUCAGGUGUGCCUUCUGUAGCAGCAGUCACACAUCUUGUUGCUACGGAACCCAUCUCCACAAGGGACGAUGAAGGUGCAGAUGAUACUGCUGCAAACAAUGCGAUCGUCGAUGAAACAAAGGCUGUGAGUGCUACCCAAGUUCAGUCCGAUGGCAACUGUUUUUCUGAUGAAGUGAUGAGCCUACACGAAAUUCCCAGGAGUGCCAGUGAUCCAGUAUAUGAACUGGCUGAUGUUAAAGAAGUGUGCGGGUUCUUCGUGGGGGGGUUCCACUGA